UUCAAAACAAAUGGCACACACAAAAGUUUGUUUUUAAAAAGAAGUUUUGAAUGUGAUUACUAUGAGGCUUUUGUUUGACCCUUUGCAAUCAGGAGUAAAAUUACUUUUGAUAUAUUAUGGAGAGUCGAAACAUUUUUUCAAUAAUUCAGUAUCAAUAAAUCUUUUAAGAUUCUUUUAGGAUUGAAAAAGUUAGUUUCAAGAGUCAAAUGAGAGCCUAGAUUAAUCUAUAUAUGGUAAGAACCAUUUAUUUUAAUGUGAUGUUUUGUCAACAAUUUUGUUCAUCCAUAUACAAAUAACAAAAAACCUGCAUGAUGCAUCUGCAUUGAAAAAAAAUGCAUUUUAUUCAUAUGAGUCACAAAAAUAAUAAAUACAUACAAACUACUUAACUGACAUAUCAAGUUUGUGUAUGAAAAAACAUCUUCAUGGACAUUAUUGUUGUGUGUUUGUAUUAAAUGUCAAUUUAAAAUCUGUUUUUGAAAAGAAAGUGUCAGUAAAGAGAAACUAGUGAGAUCAUAUAUUAUUGCUAUAUAUAUAUUCACAAUGCUUCAAUUAAUUCACCAGUUGAUUAUUAUUUUAUUUUCAAAAAAUAAUUCUUGGAUACGUGCUGUUAGGAUGGAAGGAAACCAGGAGAGGAGGAAUGAGUAGUUCCUAGUUUAUGGGUCAAGGGAAAGUUUUUGUAUUGGCCUAAAGGGAUCAAUGCAGAAAAGGUCAUGAAAAUGAGGAGAGCCAACAGAUAAGUGGAGAAAAUUUCAAGUUAUAAAGAAAAAGUGCCGAUCAGAACAUCCUUGGAAACAGAUAAUGACUCGCAAAGAGUUGGGAAAAGAGAGAGGAAAAUGGUUGAUGGAAGCAAAUCUUUGCCCAUCCCACCAAGAAAACUUCCAGUGAUGGAGAGGUGAAAAUCAUCAGAAAGAACAGUGCAUAGCAAGGACAGAUUAAGUGAAAUACCCAACAGAUCUGACCAACAAAAGUCACCUGUUGUUCAGUCUAGGUCACGAUCAAGGUCAAAGUCAAGUUCGGCAGAUCUAGACUUAGAGCGGUCAAAGUCAUGUAAUAGGCGAUUCAGGUCACAUACUAGAAGUAGGUCAAGGUCAUGGUCAAAUGUAGAGCAGUCAGGGGCAGGAAGUAGGUCAAAAUCAAGGUCAGUAGAUUUAGAAAGAUCACAGCCUAGGUCAAAAAUAGGGUCAUCAGAACAAGACAAAUGCAGAUCACAAGGGAGAGACAUAUAUCCGUGUAGGUCUACUAGAAGACAGUCACAUAAUGGCAGGUUCAGAUUUCAAUCUAGAUCAAGGUCAAGGUCACGUACCACAAACACGUUUAUGACUCCAGUCAUACAGAGAUGUAUCCAGGAAUCAGCCAAUGGCAUUUUUUUUUAGAUCUCCUACAUCCCAAAGCAGAGAAGAACCGUGUUCCUAUAUAAGGUCAAGGUCAAGAACUCGAUCAUUUAGAGAAAGGAGAUCAAGGUCAAGGUCUCGAUCAGUUAAAGAAAGGAGAUCAAAGUCAAGGUCAAUGUCUCGAUCAGUUCGAGAAAGGAGGUCCAGAUCAAGAUCUGCUAGUGAUAGAUUUCACAUAAGAUCUGUCAGAGAAUCGCCAUUGCCAACUCAACAUACCAGCACAGGUAGGAGGAGUAAGUCUGACAACAAACCCCAGGCUUUCCCAAUGUCUGAAGGAAGAUUUCAGAAAAGGAUCAUGUACCUGCUGACAGAUAGGACAGAAAUCCAAAACAAUGCUAAUGGGUGUGGCUCCAUGGCACCCUCGGGAACAGAGGCAAACUUACCAUCACCAGCCACCUCAGCAGAGAAUCUGCAUGAUUUAGACAAAAAAACUGAAAACUCUGGAGGAAAAACAGAAUCUGGUUGAUGACAAAUGAUGUUAUGUCAGCCGUCAACAUGAAGGGGAACAAGGGGAAGCUUGAAUGUGUAUCAAGUUGUGAAAGAAAGUGCCCUCAAAACACCGACGGCGAGAGAUGCCACAGAGCAUGCUGUGGAUAUGGUAAUCGCAUAUUGUUUAAAAUAUGAAUCAGAUAGACGCGGCGGAGGGGGAGACCAAAAUAAAU